GCGCCGUCGCCGCGGCUUGUGUGCUGGCGUCUGGGAUCGAUUGCCAGAUGCUUUCGCUCAGUCCCGGCGUCCUCCCACCUGGCAGGUCGGAACGCCGGGGAGCCCGGCUGCUCCCCGCCGAGGUUUUUCUCGUUUCUAAGGUGGGGAGCCCUGGCAAAGGAGCUGGUCGUGGUGGACUCGUCAGGGGAUAAAGAUGGAGACCCCUCGUCUGAGUCGGCAGGAAAGAGACCUGUUCCCGCACAGUGGGUGUCACACUAGCCGGGGCCAAGUGCGGCGGCGGUAGCAGAGCGAGGCCCAGUAGCCCACAACCGAGUCUCGCCACUCCACGGCCCACGACGGAGUCUCGCCACUCCACGAGCCGGGAGCCUCCCCGUGGGUGAGGACAGUAGUAGGUAAGUAGGAGGUGUGGGGGGAUCUGUUGACUUUUCUUCUUCUUUUUUUUAAAGAGUGUGUGAGUGGGAAGGAAAGGCAGAGGCAGAGGGAGAAGCAGGCUCUGCACCGAGCAGGGAGCGGAUGCGGAGCCCAUCCCAGGACCCCAGGAUCAGGACCUCAGCUGAAAGCAGACAUUUAACUGACUGAGCCACCCAGGUGCCCUUAACUUUGUUUUUCAUAUAAGCUUUUUAAUUGUAAAUGUAUUUAAUUUAAUUUGUAAUAUUCGUUGCGUUUAAAUAAGCAGCUCACAAAAUGCCUGAAAGCUUAACAGUUGGCCCCGCUGAGCGACGUGAGCCGCCCCCACUCGGCAGCUUUGUCCUCCUCCUUCUGUGUAAACGAUCUAGUCCUGUGACGUGGGGAUGCUCUGGAACUCCAGUGGGCAGCCAAGAAUUCCAGACCCGUGAGACAUGAAGCCGACCGUCAAAGAUCCGUGGCCAGGAUGUGCUGGAGAAGGUAAACAUCGUCGCGUCCGCGCAGGCGCCGGAACCACGCGCAGGAGCGCUCGCGGCACUGUGGUCCCUAAGAAAGAGACAGAUGUCAGCCGGCAGCGGAACAGACGCCUCAGCUGGGGUAUCGUCACAGAAUGGAAGCUGACAGGACACAAACGAGUCACACUUCUACACAGCAACACAGAUGAAUACACAGAUGAAUCUGCCAAACCGGAUUUUCUGCGAGAAAGACACCAGGCACAAAAGACUGCAUGUAGUUUGAUUUCCAUUUAAUUAAGAUCCCAAACCAGCUCAACUGAAUGACUGUCGGACAUUGGGAGGAGGGACGUUGAGGGAGGACAGAGGGCGGUGAGUGACAGAGCGAGGUGAGCAGCAGUCGGCGGACGAUCUGUUCCGACCGGCGUGUGCUGCGGGCCUGGUCGCUCUGCUCGUUCAGUGAGCUUUACAGUGCUCUUUUGUCACAUUUUGUUACGAUUUUCUCUUUGUAGGUUAUGUUUCCUGAUUCAAAAAGUUUAAAGAAGGUUGGGAUCUUCUAAGGACUGUUUUCCAUGAAAGAAUUUUCAGCAUCAGAAUGAACUUGAAAACCUCCAGUUUGCUUUCUAGGUAGGUUCAGGAGCUGCUUAAGUGCUACUCACUGUUUUCAUCUCUCAGUACCAAAAUACUGAAUGAAUAUUUGCUGCACAACCAUGGAGUAUGUAGCAUAUUAGCAGCUUUAUAAAUAAAAGGAUAAAAUCAACCCA
ensembl:lncRNA